CAGAUUGCAGGCUGCAACUCGCCUGCAUGAAGUCGGAAUUGCUAGUAAUCGCAGAUCAGCAUGCUGCGGUGAAUACGUUCCCGGGCCUUGUACACACCGCCCGUCACACCAUGGGAGUCGGUAACACCCGAAGUCGGUAGCCUAACCGUAAGGAGGGCGCCGCCGAAGGUGGGAUUGAUGACUGGGGUGAAGUCGUAACAAGGUAUC
rnacentral:rRNA from 1 species